GAAAUGAAAUAAAGGUUCUUUUGACUUGCGGACCUUUUCUUCAAAAAGGUCUUGAGGAAAUUGCCUUGCAAGUUCUUAUAAGACUAAUGUGUACGCCUAUAAGUAGUCAUUUGGUACAAAAGUAGCCUGAACAUUUUUAGAUCUAACCCUUCACCCAUGGCUAAUAUGUAUUCACCAUGUUAUGAAGUUUUCUUAAAUUUUAGGGGCAAAGACAUACGCAAAACUUUUUUAGAUCAUCUCUAUAAAGCAUUAGCUGAUGCUGGAAUUAAUGUAUUUAGAGAUGAUGAUGAACUUCCAAGAGGUGAGGACAUUUCACGGAGUUUACUGGAAGCAAUUGAAGAGUCGACGAUUUCUCUUGUUGUUUUCUCCAAGAGUUAUGCCUCAUCUAAAUGGUGUCUUAAUGAGCUGGUCAAAAUUCUUGAAUGUAAAAAAAAACUUGGCCAGUUCAUUUUACCUAUUUUUUAUGAUGUUGAUCCUGCUGAAGUACGUCAUCAAACUGGGAAAAUUGGUGAAUCCCUUGCCAAACAUGAAUCAAAUUCGAGUCCAGAACAGUUGAGGAAGUGGAGAGAUGCACUUACUCAGGUUGCAAGUUUUUCCGGAUUCCAUCUUCCAAAUUUUUUCAGCGGUCAUGAAGCAAAGUUCAUCGAAAUGAUUAUCCAGGAGGUAUUGGGUAAAUUAAACCACAGAUAUAUGGAUGUCGCAAGGCAUCCAGUAGGAAUUAGUUCUCGUGCCAGCGAACUUAUAAAUAAGAUGUCAUGGACAGUGUCAACCGAUGCCCAAUAUGUUGGAAUCUGGGGCAUGUGAGGUGUUGGUAAAACUACCUUAGCAAAAACCAUCUUCAAUGAAUGUUAUCAAAAUUUUGAAGGUAGCACCUUUCUUCAUGUUCGAUCACAAGUUUCAAAUGGGGAUAGCGGUAUGGUUGCUUUGCAAAAGAAGCUUCUCAAGGGUACUCUCAGGAAAAAUAUUGAAGUCAGCUGUGUCGAUCAUGGAAUACAAUUGAUUAAACAAAGGCUUCAAUCAAAAAGAGUUCUCAUUGUCCUCGAUGACGUCGAUCAUGUUGGACAAAUAUACUCAUUAGCGGGAGGGAGGCACUGGUUUGGUCCUGGAAGUAGAAUUAUCAUUACCACUAGGGACCAACACUUGCUGAAUUUUUCUACAGGUGAUGUAAAACACGAGGUCAAGUGUAUGACCAAAAGUGAAAGUCUACAGCUUUUCUGUAGGCAUGCUUUUCAAAAUCAUUACCCUCCGGAAGACUUUGUGGAGCUCUCUGAAAGCUUUGUAACGUAUGCAGAGGGGCUUCCUUUAGCACUUGUGGUUUGGGGAUCCAUGUUAUAUAAAAGAAGCAUGGUUGAGUGGAGAAGUGCCCUUGAGGAAUUGAAGCAAAUCCCUCAUGAUUCGAUACUAGAGAAACUUAUAAUAAGCUAUAAUGGGCUCCCUGAUCAUACAAUCAAGGAAGCAUUCCUCGAUAUCGUAUGUUUCUUCGAAGGAUGGGACAAGGAAGAUGCUUCUAAAGUCCUUAGCAGUUGCGGUUUCUUCGCUGAAAUAGUAUUUAAUGUAUUGAUCGAUAAGUGUUUAGUAACAAUAAAUGAAUCUAAUCGACUGAGCGUGCAAAAUCUGAUUAGAGACAUGGGAAGAGAAAUUGUUCUUAGAGUAUGCAAAGAUCCAGCUGAGCGUAGCAGAUUGUGGCUUCCCGAAGAUAUUCGUGAUGUGCUUACUGGACACAAGGGAGGGGAAAAAGUUGAGGCAUUGAAGCUAGAACAACCAGUGUUUAAGGACAUGCGUGUGAGUACAAAAGUAUUUUCAAAAAUGAAGAACCUGAGACUCCUCCAGAUUGAUCAUCUUAAUCUUCAAGGAAGCUUCAAGGACAUGUUUAAGGAGCUUAGAGUGUUAAAAUGGAAUCCUUUCCAUCGGAUUUGCACCCGGACAAACUUGUUAGUUUGGAUAUGAGCCACAGCAGCCUCAAAGUGUCCCCUUGUACAAAGCACUUAAGGUGUUUGGAGAUUUUGGAUCUGAGCUAUUGUGAGAGCCUAACGAGAACUUCAAACUUCACUGGUUCACCAAUGCUUAAGAAACUAUCGUUUAGAGGUGGUUCGAGUUUGACUAAGGUGGACUCAUCAAUUGGAUAUUUGGAGGUUCUUGUAGAAUUAGAUUUCACGGGGUGUAAGAAUGUUCGGAGACUACCAGAAAGCAUCUGCAAGCUGAAAUCGCUUGAGAAGCUAUAUCUGAGUGAUUGUACAAAUCUACAACAAUUGCCUGCUGACUUGGGGAAUCUGAAGCGCUUGACGGCACUUUAUGCAAUGAGAACAGCUAUUACACAACUACCAGUGUCUUGUGGACUUCUGAAGAAUCUUCAACUCUUGGAAGUGGGAAAUGGCUGCAAACUUUUACAACCUAAAUCUCGUCUUUCUAUCAUUUCAUCCUUUCUAGUAUCGAAAGAUCGUGAUAUUCUUCCGUCUUCUAUUACAAAUUUACCGUAUUUGGAAGUUCUAAAAGUUUCUUUCUUCAAUCUGUACCAAAGAGAUAUUCCCAAUUGUCUUGACCGAUUAUUCUCACUGAAAGUCCUAGAUUUAAGUGGAAAUAACUUUCACAGCCUACCCUUCACUCUUUGUCACCUAUCCAAGUUAAAAACCCUUAGCCUCUAUGGAUGCCCGAAUCUCCUUAUGCUCUCAAAUCUUCCUUGUAACCUAGAAGCACUAUCCACAAGGAAUUGCAUGUCACUAGAAAGGCUUCCAGAUUUGUCAAGCGCAAACAGAUUGCAACAGUUGGAUUUCCAUGAUUGCAGGAAAUUGGUUGAAAUUCGGGGCCUUGAGAAACUUAAAUACUUGAAGUAUAUGAAUGCAAUAGGUUGUAUUCUCACAAAAAAUGCUCUAGCUGAAGGCUUCUUCAAGGCAAAUUAUGCACCUGAAGGCGUAAAUGUUUUUCUUCACUGAAAUGAGAUUCCUAGUUGGUUUAGCUAUCAGGUUGUAGGAUCUUCAAUAUCUUUGAUUGUUCCACGAUAUGGGGAACAAGAAUUCCUUGGCAUGGUUGUUUGGGCUAUUUGUGAACCUCAAGGAGAACAUUUUGUUGGAACCCCCAUUGCUAUAAUCACUGACCAGACAAAUGAGAUUGAAUAUCCUCUUUUUGGUGUAGAUAUUUCAGUACGGUAUGAGAGUUAUGCGUGGGUGAGCUAUAUGCCAAAACGACAUUUCAAACGCCCAAUAAAAGGCGGUGAGAAAAUGAUGGUUUCUAUCAAAGAGCGUCAUUCAUCAAAGGAAGGUUUAGCAAAGAAGUUUGGGGUUCAUCUUUUGUUUGCAACCAGCCCAAAAGGAAAGUCAUUUCCUUUUAGCAGAUUGUGACAGAGAUGAUGGAGUUGAGGCCUUGCUUUUGGUUCAGGUUCAAUAUUUUUCCAACUUUUCUUGGGAUGCUGGGGUUUUAACAAAAAUUCAACCAGAGAACAAUUGUUGUGUGUAUGAACUCUGUAAGGCUUCCCUACUUCAUUCUGAUUAUAUGUGGAGCUUCUAGUUUUUUACGGUGGAUAUUGUGGUAGCAGUUGAAUGAUAGGUUCUUUUAAAAUUAAAUGUUUAAAAUGUCUAGUUUUUUAAGAUAUAUUAUUUAUGCAUUACAUAAAGAGUUAAUGCCUAAAAUCUCCUCUAAAUUAUGCACGUUUUAUUAGUUUAAUAUUUAAACUAUGAGUUGUUAUUACCCCUGAAACUAUAACAUUUCUUAUCUAAAACCACCUUGUAUUGUUGUUAUCCUCAGAGCUAUAACAUUUCCUAUCUAUAAAACCCCUGCAGUGCCAAAUGGCAUGGAGAAUGAAUGAAUUCUUCUUGUAGUGCGUAGGACCUAUGCCGUAGGCCAAAAGGGUGACUCAAGAGAAUUACUUAACUUAGGGAAUAGAAUUGAGAAUCUAAAUAUACAACUAUGUUAUAUACGAUCUAGAGUGAUAGUAAAAAAAUUACGAUAAUAUUAAAGAGUAAGGGGAAAAAGAUCUAAAAAAACAUCUUUUUCCUAAAAUUACCCUUUCCUUCACUUAAUGUCAUACUUCGUCUCAAUGAAUAUGUGGCAUUUUACAGUUCAUCUUUUAAAAUGUAUUAGUAUUAUUAUUAUUAUUAUUUCUUAUU